GUUUUUGUAGUUGAAUAACAGCGGUAGCUUUUCAAGCUAUAGGUUCAGGUUGAAGCCCUGACAGAAAUG
rnacentral:tRNA from 1 species